AUUUGGGGCGGUGUUAACGGACUCUUCUUCUCUGUCUGUCCCCGCCCUGCUCUCCGCAGAGCUUCAAGCCUUCUUCUGUUUUCCAGUCAGAGCUGGCAGGGGGAAAAAAAGGGAAAACAGCCCAGGAAGCCCCCACUGGCCGGCGCCCAUGCCAGCUCUCUUCUGGCCAGGACGCAGCUGCUGCGCACUUCGCGCGGGGGCCCACGGCAGGCAGCACAACCCUCCCUCCAUCUCCCACUCCACCGGCGGCCGAAGCCCCACGCGCACUGGAAGGGGCCCAGGUCUACAGCU
rfam:Echinops telfairi cont1.389016, whole genome shotgun sequence.